rnacentral:rRNA from 1 species
GAUGAACGCUGGCGGCGUGCCUAAUACAUGCAAGUCGAGCGAACAGAUGAGGAGCUUGCUCCUCUGACGUUAGCGGCGGACGGGUGAGUAACACGUGGAUAACCUACCUAUAAGACUGGGAUAACUUCGGGAAACCGGAGCUAAUACCGGAUAAUAUAUUGAACCGCAUGGUUCAAUAGUGAAAGACGGUUUUGCUGUCACUUAUAGAUGGAUCCGCGCUGCAUUAGCUAGUUGGUAAGGUAACGGCUUACCAAGGCAACGAUGCGUAGCCGACCUGAGAGGGUGAUCGGCCACACUGGAACUGAGACACGGUCCAGACUCCUACGGGAGGCAGCAGUAGGGAAUCUUCCGCAAUGGGCGAAAGCCUGACGGAGCAACGCCGCGUGAGUGAUGAAGGUCUUCGGAUCGUAAAACUCUGUUAUUAGGGAAGAACAGAUGUGUAAGUAACUAUGCACGUCUUGACGGUACCUAAUCAGAAAGCCACGGCUAACUACGUG